rnacentral:rRNA from 1 species
ACUCCUACGGGAGGCAGCAGUGGGGAAUAUUGCACAAUGGGCGCAAGCCUGAUGCAGCCAUGCCGCGUGUGUGAAGAAGGCCUUCGGGUUGUAAAGCACUUUCAGCAGUGAGGAAGGCGGAGUCGUUAAUAGCGGCCUCGUUUGACGUUAGCUGCAGAAGAAGCACCGGCUAACUCCGUGCCAGCAGCCGCGGUAAUACGGAGGGUGCGAGCGUUAAUCGGAAUUACUGGGCGUAAAGCGCAUGCAGGUGGUUUGUUAAGUCAGAUGUGAAAGCCCGGGGCUCAACCUCGGAAUAGCAUUUGAAACUGGACAGACUAGAGUACUGUAGAGGGGGGUAGAAUUUCAGGUGUAGCGGUGAAAUGCGUAGAGAUCUGAAGGAAUACCGGUGGCGAAGGCGGCCCCCUGGACAGAUACUGACACUCAAAUGCGAAAGCGUGGGGAGCAAACAGGAUUAGAUACCCUAGGUAGGAUAGCG